CCUACGGGUGGCUGCAGUGAGGAAUAUUGGUCAAUGGUCGGGAGACUGAACCAGCCAAGCCGCGUGAGGGAUGCAGGUACAGAGUAUCGUAAACCUCUUUUGUCAGGGAACAAAGGCGGGGACGCGUCCCCGGAUGAGUGUACCUGAAGAAAAAGCAUCGGCUAACUCCGGGCCAGCAGCGGCGGUAAUACGGAGGAUGCGAGCGUUAUCGGGAUUUAGUGGGUUUAAAGGGUGCGCAGGCGGUCUGUUAAGUCAGCGGUCAAAGCCCGGGGCCCAACCCCGGCCCGCCGUUGAAACUGGCAGUCUCGAGUUGGAGAGAAGUAUGCGGAAUUCGUGGUGUAGCGGUGAAAUGCUUAGAUAUGACGAAGAACCCCGAUUGCGAAGGCAGCUUGCUGCAGCGGAACUGACGCUGAUGCUCGAAAGCGCGGGUAUCGAACAGGAUUAGAUACCCGGGUAGUC
rnacentral:rRNA from 1 species